rnacentral:rRNA from 1 species
GUGCCAGCCGCUGCGGUAAUACGGAGGGUGCAAGCGUUAAUCGGAAUUACUGGGCGUAAAGCGCACGCAGGCGGUUUGUUAAGUCAGAUGUGAAAUCCCCGGGCUCAACCUGGGAACUGCAUUUGAAACUGGCAAGCUUGAGUCUCGUAGAGGGGGUAGAAUUCCAGGUGUAGCGGUGAAAUGCGUAGAGAUCUGGAGGAAUACCGGUGGCGAAGGCGGCCCCCUGGACGAAGACUGACGCUCAGGUGCGAAAGCGUGGGAGCAAACAGGAUUAGAUACCCUGGUAGUCCACGCCGUAAACGAUGUCUA